UUUAAAGGUUUACAAAGCUUUAAAUAAAUGCUUUGGAAAGCUGAAGCAGAUGCUUCUUGCUGGUGUCAUACAGAAGUCACACACAGCCAGACAGAAGCACUCAAUUUUCCAAGUUCCUUGUCCUUACAGGGGAACUUGGACAAGAGCAUAUCCCUUUUGAGAACUUUGUAUCAUAUUUAACUGACCUGAACUGUGCUGCUUCUCUGCCCUGUCAGAACUUCACUCAGAAGGAUCUGUGAUACAAAGUACACUAUGGCCCACUGUGACCUUCCCAGAAACAGAUGUAGGAAUUAAUUACAUCUGCUCAUAAUUAACCUGUUCUCAAAGGUGCUGAUCACAGCUUGGAAGUGGAACCAAUGCUCCUCACACAUUCUCCUAAAUUUACCAACUGCUCUUCAGUAACAAGAUAAAACAAGUGAAAAGCAAAUUUGCUGCAGGUGGCAGGGAAAAGGAGAGCUCCAUGCUGAGGCUCACACUGAUUUUGAUAAAAAAGGCACAAGGGUGUUGUCUCAGCUCCCUGCAGCAGCUGAUAGGGGGCAAAGGAGGGAACUUGGCCUUCAGGAGAUUUGUUUUAAACUGCAAUUCAAAAACUUGUUGAAACCAAAUGGAAGUAUUUCUCUGUACUGAUGAUAUAUAUUGGACAUGGAGAGAUACAUUCCACAUAAUUUCUUUCUUUCCAUCAUUUAUACAAGCUUGAACACUUCAGCAUGCAUUGCAGGUUUUGAUGGAGUUAAUCUCCCAUAAGAGCCCUGCAGACCUGCAUGGGCCUGGCUAUCACCUUGCUGCUGAAAAGCAUCAGGCUUUGAACUAAGGCAACUUAAGGAAUCUCUGCAGCUGGACCACCAGAGCACUGUUCAAUACAAAUUCUGCAUUUGCUCCUUGGACUUGUACUGAAGUGGGAUAAAGAACAGGAAAAUUUGCUACUCAGUGAUGCCAUUCCCUCUGAUCUGCCUUUCCUAACAAAACCAACAUCCCAAGCAGACAAAUAUAAGAAAAGUCUCCCUACAGAGAGGAGAACAACAGCCCAAGAGCAAGAAACAGGAAAGCAAUGACAAUGUGAGCUUAGUUCAUCCACCUUCAUUUUUAUCUCAGUGCUCCUUCUGAAGUUCAUGAAAAAAUCACAACUUAAGACGUUUUUUAGUCUAAAAAUUCCAUUUUGGUGAUUGGGUGAUUAACUAAAACUCUCAAUUGCGUCAGUUCACAUUGGCAAGUACCUGGGUGUUACUCCUGCGUGCUAAGAAUAAAGACUUAGCAGCCUUGACUUAUGUUACAUAGUCUCCCACACAGAGGUUUAACUCUCAAGAUUUUCAUCUCCAGACACCAGGAACAGCUUUCUCUGCUAACUGCCCACUUUGUCUCAACACAACCAGGUGAAAAAGCUCCCAUAAAAAGCACAGUCCUUAGAACACAGGCCUGAGCUGCACCCAAAAUGGCACCAUCAUUCCAGUGAUGGUGCAAAUUAAAUGAUAAAACAUAGUAUCAAAAUAGCUAUUGAAAAAUCAAACUUGAUGAAAAUAGAAGUUUAAACUGCUGUUUUAAUCAAUGUUUGUAUCAGGUAACUGUACACCAAAUAUUAAAGGACUAUUUAGGACUAACGCCCUCAUCAGUAGGCUCAUCUAUCAGCAUGACCAGAACAAGAGAAGAUCAAUGUUUAGCUGGCACUCAAGUACAGCAGGCUUCAAAGCAGAGAUCAUAUCAGCAUCAAAGCACAGAGAAAAACAGUGGUUAGAAUAUAAUACACUAAAUUUGCAAUGUCAGUAUCCCUGAUGAUUCUAACAGAAACAGCAACCUAAAUAUUGUGAAGUUAAUCACUGCUUCUGAACAGAACACAAAAUAACUUGCAUUUUAAGAAAAAUGAAAUGAGUGACUGAUGGGAAUCAGUUCCCCAAAUAUUCCCACAUAUGCUGCAAAUUCAGUGGGAUCUGCACAAAAUAUCAGUAACUUCUAUACAAUUUUAAAGUGCAUUUCAUCUGUUUAAGAAAGUAAUAUCAGCUGAACACAGUGACUCAUAAUCAAAUCAAACAUUCUAGAUAGACAGUCAUUCACAGCAAAGCACAAAGCAGUGAAAACUUGUCUUUUCCAUUUCCAGCUUGGAUACAUCCUGGUAAGGUACAGGCACUGUGCUGCCUAAACACAAGGCUCUCUACAUACCUGACCGCUACAAGAAAAUAAAUUAAAUGACACUUGAGAAGCUUGAGGAGUUCUUUGAUCUCUUGACCAGAAUCAGUACAGCUUUCAGCCUAGCCUAGCAUGUGGCAAUGCAAUAUCUCACAACAGUUCAUUCUGCCAAUGAACAAGGAAAAAUCAUGGAUUUAUUUUGGUCAGUUCGGCAUCUCGUUCACAUGCAGAUAUUAGGAAACAGUCAUUUUAAUAAAUUAAUACCAGUCUUGUGUUUCUUGGAAGACUUACUCAAUUUUCCAAAUCUGUAAUGUUCAGAUCGCUUUCAAAGCACUGUAUUAUUUCAGAUUUCCAUUUCCUACAUAUUUUGCAGUUCCAACUUAUGUACUGUGCACAUGUAUAUCCACUUAAAAAUCAACUUUAUUUAUCACCAAGGAAUUAUUUCACAGAUGAAGAAUUAAAUCAUCACCCUCUAAAAUAAUACUUUAUUUCUAAUACUAGAUAGAGUUAAUAUCAGUUAAAGUAGUAUUGAAAUAUUUGCUAUAGUAACAAGGAAGGGAAAAUCUGCAUGCCAGCAGUACCUGUAAUGAAAAUGUUCUUUCAGUCAAUUUUCAGGCAUUUGGAGGGCUGGGGGUGACACAACACUGAGUAACACUUGUAUGUAACACAUGAAGUCAGUUGUCAGUGAAAUGAAAAAGAUCCAGUAAUAUUAAAAGAAAAAAAAAUGUAGCUACCCCCUUGAAAGCUUUUUUAGCAACUGUAACAAUGCAAUUCUUUGCUACCCAAAAUAUGUACCAGGAUCUAGGAAAACGUCUAAUUUUCUGCACAUCAUGUUAUUAAUUGGAACACCACUGCAUGUGCAGGGAGAUAGGAGCAGCACCAGUGGCCUCGGGCAGCUCUCUCCAAUCUGCACAAGAACAAGGGCCGAGAGAGACAACUGAAACACUGGAGAUUUCAGCCAAAACAACAGAUUUAUAUAUCACCAAAAUCCAGAGAAGGGGGAAAAGCAAUAAGCAUGGACUAAUUUCAGUACAGCAGAACACAUGAAAGAUUUAUUGCUGAAGCAAAAGUCUGAAGAUGCAGUUGUAUGCAGCAGGAAUAAAAGCUAUAGCACAGGACUGAAGCAAGGCCUUUGUCAAAUUAAUGAACAAUUUGGGAGGUGAAAUUUUCAGGAAAAGUACUCCCCUCUCAAAGGACAACCUCAUUAAAAUGAACAUACCACAGGGAGAGGACACUUCUUUUAAAUCUUUUCUUCAAAAAGCAAGUAAAAAGUCAACAGUAAUGCAGCCAGACAGCCCAGACUGCGGACAUCUGUAAAUGCAAAGGGAGCUCUGGUAGCCAUUGAAAAUCCCAAUAUGGUUCAAAUUCUGUCUGCAAGGAAUUCUGCCUGAAGUGAGAAUCUAGUCUGUCUCAAAAAAACAAAAGAAUACAUAAAAACUGCAAAAAAAACUGCCACUUUAAAACAUCUCUUGAAAUUCUGAAAGUGGUAAGAAAAAAAUGGGUUGAAUAUGUGGGCACUUCAAAAGCAAAAUCUCAGGACUAAGAUACCUGAGCAGAAGUUCAAGACCACAUCAACCAAGACCACUGAGCAGGUCUCCAAUAGGAAACAAAGUUCUACUCGUAAGUGUAAAGUUGUAUUUGCUCAUCAUUUCCAAAGAUUUAUUAUUUCUGUCUGGACAGGGCCUCUGCUGCAGAGAGCUGGCAGCUGUCCUGGGGGAUGAAUGCCCACACUCCACUAAAAUCUGACAUGUCACCAAAAAUGACUGGAACCCGAACGAAUGGUCAGUGCAUGUAUGACCAGCACAUUGGUAAGAGUGUUAUUCUGAGUCAAGUAAAUAGUUUUGAGAGUUUGUUUUGUGUGGUUUUUGCUUUAAAAAGCAGUAUCUGGCAAGGCUGGCCCUCAUCUAUCCCACGUGCAGAGCUGCGUGCUUGGUGCAAGCUACAGCCUGCAGCUCUGCUCUGUUGCUGUUCUCCCAUGGGCAGCACAGAGAACAGGAAUGGCCAAAUAACUGCACAUGGAUGCUCAUGAAGCCAGAGAUUACAGGUGGAAGCAUUAUUUCCAGAAAAUCCAGAAACAAUAAAGGGAGCUGAGACCACAUUCCUGCUAUAAGGAAGGCUCAAAUUCUUACAUGAACAAAUUCAUUUUUUCAGAUCAGAAUCUGCUAGAGCAAUAACAUACCACAUGACACAUGAAUCAUUUGCUCACAGCAAAGGGGAAAGAAAGAUCCCUGAGGCUGGAAAACUGGUAGUAAUCUCUCAGCCAGCAUUAAAGAAAACAGUAGUAAGACUUGAGGAUGUAUUAGCCACAUCCAAGAGACUCACAUUUCUAUUGCUUCUCUAAUACAUAUUUAUGGCUAUCUAGGAGUAAUGUUUAGCAACUCAAAUACUGAUUUAAUUAAUAAUUUCUUGACAGACAUAUUUUGGAUUAAACCAAUCAGGGCACUCAUCUAAUAAAUAGCUGAUUUCAGUGCCACCUGUGACUUUGCAGUAAUGUUUUAAAUUUUAACAACCUAUAAGGAAAAAAGCAUUUAGAACAGAAGGACCUCAGGAAGUUGAACUGGACAUUGCCUGAAAAUCACAUUUUUCUAUUGCUACAAAUGAAGCCAAAGUGACCACUAAUUGCAUCAAAGUUUAUAAACUGGGUACUUAAGGAUGCACAACUUUCAAAAAUGUUAUACAGAAAAUUCCUAACAAAAAUCAGAGAUACAGAGGGCUUUGGAAAUAAUAGGCCUUGGAUCUGAAGUUUGACAUAUCUAGCUGAAGGACAGGCUGUAGGGCAGCUCACUGCUGUGUGCAGCUACCCAAGAGACACGUGUCAUUUGGCUGUGCUUGAACUACACAGGAGUACAAUACACAGAGAAUAAAUAGGUGAAAUGACAGAGUUACCAGAUCAAAUUCUAGCUAGCCUUAAAAUUAUUUUCCCUCAGAACACAACCUAAAAGAAUCCAAGCAUUCCAUAGAUGGGGAAAGAGAACAGUUAACUUGGACACUGCUGUUAUUUUCUUAAUGAAACACCUCUUGCUUCCAGCUGUGACUCAUGAGGAACCUUCCCACUACACAUAUUGGUUACACAGCCUCUUGCCUGCCUGGCACUACCAGCACAGGGAGCAAUUCAAGUCCAGGUAUGUCUCUGUGAGUUACAGGUCACUGCCAAAGUCGGGGCCUUUUUAGCUUGGCAAGUAAUGACUUAAAUAUCCUUUUAAUUGCAGUCAGAUAACAGAUUUGAGGGA